rnacentral:rRNA from 1 species
AUGCCCGGUUCGUCUGCUACUCCAAGCGCCGCCAGGGGUUCUUCAGCAAGGCCACGGUUCGCCUUCUCUCCCCGCGGCAGGGCCUUCUCCUUCGGCCACCCCUCCGUCGACUCCGUCGUGAAACGCUUCCUGGCGGGGGAGGCUGCGGGGGCUGGCGCGAGGGAGGAGGGCGCUGCCGACCACCGCUUGCUGGCCGGGGAGGGCGCUGCCGGCGAAGACGAGAAGCUCGAGAAGCUGCAGCAGGAGUUCGACGAGCUGCGCACGGAGCUGGUCGAGUUGAAGAAGCGGACCAAGCGCACGGACAAGGCCAUGGCGAAAGAGCGCUCUGCGGGGGACCAGAUAGCGGCUUGGUUCGACCCCAAGGCGCGCGACAUGGGAGACGAGGACAUGGCGGCCUUCUUCGCCGCGCUGAUGCAGAUGAAGGACGCCGUCUCCGAUCGCGCCAACCAGGUUCUCCUCGAGGCGAUGCACGCCCACAUGAGCCGCAUGGCGGAGGUGGCCCCGCCGCCGCCGCCGCCCCAGAUCUCCUUGGAGUUCGGUAGCAGCAGCGGCACCGCCAACGACGGGAUGGAGUUCCAGUUUCUGGUGCCUCCGCCACAGGAGCAGGGUUUCGAGGCCGGGAUGGAUAUGCAGCAGAUGGUGAUGGCGCCGCUGCCUCCGUCUCAGGUGGUCACCGCCGGGAUAGAUGUGCAGGAGAUGCCUCCGCCGCCGGGGUUGGCCGCCGGGAUGGAUACGGAGCAGAUGCAGAUGACGAUGCCUAAGCCGCCGGGGUUCGACGCAGGGCUAGACAAGGAGAUAGAUCAAUGGCUUGAUGUGAUGCUGCCGCGUCCGGAGUUCACUGCCGGGAUGGAGACGGUGCAGCAGGGGCUCCAUCAACCCAACGCCGGCUUCCCGUACUGA